rnacentral:rRNA from 1 species
CAGCAGUGGGGAAUUUUCCGCAAUGGGCGAAAGCCUGACGGAGCAAUGCCGCGUAGAGGUGGAAGGCCUACGGGUCGUCAACUCCUUUUCUCGGAGAAGAAACAAUGACGGUAUCUGAGGAAUAAGCAUCGGCUAACUCUGUGUCAG